CUACGGGUCGCUGCAGUGAGGAAUAUUGGACAAUGGGCGAGAGCCUGAUCCAGCCAUGCCGCGUGCAGGAAGACUGCCCUAUGGGUUGUAAACUGCUUUUAUACGGGAAGAAACACCGCUACGUGUAGCGGCUUGACGGUACCGUAAGAAUAAGGAUCGGCUAACUCCGUGCCAGCAGCCGCGGUAAUACGGAGGAUCCAAGCGUUAUCCGGAAUCAUUGGGUUUAAAGGGUCCGUAGGUGGAUAAUUAAGUCAGAGGUGAAAUCCUGCAGCUCAACUGUAGAAUUGCCUUUGAUACGGGUUGUCUUGAGUUAUUAUGAAGUAGUUAGAAUAUGUAGUGUAGCGGUGAAAUGCAUAGAUAUUACAUAGAAUACCAAUUGCGAAGGCAGAUUACUAAUAAUGAACUGACACUGAUGGACGAAAGCGUGGGGAGCGAACAGGAUUAGAUACCCCAGUAGUC
rnacentral:rRNA from 1 species